rnacentral:rRNA from 1 species
GACGAACCGUGCAAACGUUGUUCGGAAUCACUGGGCUUAAAGGGCGCGUAGGCGGGCAGCCAAGUCAGGGGUGAAAUCUUUCGGCUCAACCGGAAAAUUGCCUUUGAAACUGGCUGUCUCGAGGGAGGUAGGGGCAUGUGGAACUUCCGGUGGAGCGGUGAAAUGCGUUGAUAUCGGAAGGAACGCCGGUGGCGAAAGCGACGUGCUGGACCUCUUCUGACGCUGAGGCGCGAAAGCUAGGGGAGCGAACGGG